AGGAUGUAUUUGGAAACUGGCCCUUCUCACACAGGCAUAGCCCCCUAACAUCGUGUUUGAGCCCAAUUCCUCCCCCUCCCAGGCCAGAGCUGACCUGACAUGGUCUGGGUCAGUUACAUUCUCUGACCCUGAAUUUGGACUUGAAGGACGGAGGCAAGGUCUUCUGGUUACAGAAGCUGAGGGCAGAUGACAUUGUGAAUUGUGAGGCAAUCGUGCACAGAGCAGGAGAUGAAGGUGACCCACAGAGAACGAGAAGAGAAAAGAGAAGGCAGGGAAGCAGGGACAAGGAGCCCCGGGUCCAAGAGAGGAGGUGCCUGACGGGACAGCUGCCCCGGACCAAAAGCGUUCUGGUCUUUCCUGAAGCCCCCAACACUCGAUCCUUGGAGUCCACGAGAUGAGACGAGUGAGGCCCUGAAGAAGAAAAGUGAUGUUUGGCAGGUGGUAUGUGGGCAGGGCAGGGGGGCCCCCAGAACCUGCGGUUUUCUUUGAACAACCAAGUCAACAAAUGCAUGGGUCUAGAUCCCCCAGGGGCCCUUCCUCAGGACUCUGCCGUGACCCUGACUUCCCAGUGAGUAACUCGGUCUGCACAGCAGAGCUGCAGACCCCACGCCUUCGAAUCGGAGAAACUUGCUCCAAAUUCCAACUCUACCACUUAGCAGAGGGAUGGCCCUUUACUUCAAGCACUCGGAACCUCGGUUUCCUCAUCUGCCAAACAGGGACUGUGUGAUGAUGCACCACAUAUGCUGUGAAAAUCAAAGAAUGCACGCAAAGGGCUUGGCAUAAAACUUGGCACACAGCAGAGUCAGGGCACAAGCAAGAGUCAAGAAACACAGCCUAUUACCUGUGAAAGAAAUCCAAAUACGUUUACCAUUUGUCCCAAGGACCCUCCUACGUAAGAUACUGUCCAACCACACAAACAGUUUUUGUGUUGGGUGAAGUGAAAGUGGAAAGGUGGGGACGUGGCAAACUGUGGACAAGUGGAGGCGGAGGGUGAAGUCAGGAGAGAGGCAAAUGACCUUAAUUGCCUAUGCCCUCUAUCUGUUAUUAGAAAGUAGCGGGGAGACCCAACCAGAAAAAGAAAAGAGUAUAAAAUCAAACGGCUUAUUUUGUUUGUGUAACCCCACAGACAACAAUACGAUGUAAUCACACAUUCAAUGCCGAGAGAAUAUCGACUCUGUUGGAUUGACCAGACAUAAAGCCAACCGAACGCGAUACGCUUCAAGUUCCCAAAGACUACAGCAAGACUGUAGACGGUGGUCGUUUAAAAUUAAAAAAGAAAAAUGAGGACACUUCUUUCCUUUUGGUCACGAACUCCCUAACUUUAAAACCACUGAAACGAGACUGAGUCUCUGAGAGGAGAAGGAUCCGGGCUUUGCUUUCAGUUGGCCGAGGAAGAGCAUUCCAGCCCCAGAAGCACACACACACACAUGCAAGAAACUGGACACUCGAUUUGUUCUCAAAAGGUACAUUAAAGCUGACAACAAACCCACUUGAAAUUCUGAAAUCAGAACAACAAAGAAUUGGGAGAAAGAAUUGGCCUUUCAGCCAAAAAUAUGCUGACAGGGUGACAGGGUCUGUGCCAUGUCGGCAGAAAUACAUAAAUCAGGUGGCUAAAAAAAGGAACCGAUCUGAAGUGCAACUCAUUUUUAGGACUAAAUCACAAAAAUUAAUAAAAAUAUGUGAGGUUUUCCUACAGUUACUGGGAAUCAGGAAAACAUGAGUCUAUUGUAGAAAGAAAAGGUUGAGCAUAUUUUGUUUUCAGUAAGGGGGAAGGUCCCCAAAGCAUAGCCAUCCCCUCGCAAAUGCUUUUAAAUCAGUAAUUCCUACGACAAAAAGUGCUUGUUUCCUUUUGACAAGAUUGUAAGUACACUAGUAAAUCUAAGUUUAAUACCCAUCAAAUAUUUUGCAAAAGUAAUGAAGUCCAGGUAAUAAAUGAAAUCUCAGUAAAUCUCUCCAUUUAAAGUAUUGCUGACAAGAAGAAUCGGUACCCUGUGUUUCUGGCUGGCUCAUCCAAUUUGACGUAUUAGCAGAAUGUAGCAAAAUUUGCUUAAAGUGCUGGUUGUAUAACGGUGAGAUUCUUUUCUCAUUUUUAUUUAAAACGCAAAGAUGAAUGACCUACAAGUACUAAUUUUUCCCUUAACUCCCAGUGUUCGACAGCUCAUAUUCCUCCACUAACUCCCUUAUGUAACAUUCUUUCUAGCAAUGUGAGCAAAUACGUAGUCACAGUAUCAGCCAUCAGAGCAACAGAAUUCUCUACAAUGAAUUAAUUUCAUGUUAACUACAAAAUAAAAAUGGAAUUACACCUAAAGAAAGAAGAUAAGAAUAAUGAAAGGAACCAGAGUAUUUCCUCUUCUGGAAAAUAAAAAAUGGGAAAAUCAUAUCAACUCCCAUUAGUUCACUGUUAAUUAAAGGAUAGAUUUGGUAAAGAAUAUCUUCCAAAGUCUUAAUGGACUUAAAAAGUUACAAGAGCUGGACGGUAGAAAUCGUAGUAGUUAAGAAAUAUCUUUGUUUCACUUUUAGGCUUUUUUACAGAAUAUGUAAAGUGCUGUAAAAAUGAAAGUACUAUAAAAUUGAAGGUCAAUUUUAGUCAAAAUGAGAGGGAGAUUCAGGGUUUAGCUAAAAUUCCCUAUCUCAAUUUUCCUAUCUUGACAGUUUCUACAUCUUUUCUUAAAUUUAAAUACAUUAUUAACUUGAAUCCAUUACCCUCAGAAUUCAUAUCAUAAAAAUGUAUGUAUGUGAAAAUGUGAAAAGCAUCUGACCUUAGAAACCAAUUUAUUUUUCCCUUCUUAUUUCAAAAACAAUUUAUUUCCAAAUGUCCAAAGCAAAUAAUCUCCCAGGUGCUUCCUGCCAGUUGUAAAGAACAUUCUAUUUAGGGACAACAUUGGAACAACACAUUUCACCUCCUCUCUCUUCCUGCUGGCUUCCAGUGUGUUGGAAAUUAAGAGUUUGAAAUUAGGAGUUUUAAUUAGGCAGGCUUUCUCUGCCUGUUGGUUUAUUUCCUUUAUUUUAAGGUAGAAGUCUCUGUAUGGUUGAGUGCAGCUCCUUACAAAGCCACAGAGGGUCAGACCUGAAAUGGGAAAGUUAUUUUAAUUUAGUCCAGCAUGUUUGUUUUUCCUUUUUGCUGACACCUAGAUCCUAUUCUGAUGUGACUGUGUCUUUGUUUAAGAUGGCUUUUCAGGGUAUGAGGGAGCUGCGUUUUAAAGGGCUGCGUUUUCUAAAUGAGCAGGUAGUUUGUGACAUUAAAAAAAUUGUCGAAGUUCUGUAAUUCCCCAAGAGCUGGCUAUCAUCUCAAAGGUAUCUAGGGGUGCGACUGUGGUGGUUUGAACAGCAACUUCAUAGCAACUGGAACCACAAGUUUUCUGAAACGUGACUUGUAUCUUGGUAUCUGGUUACAUCUUGGUUUCAUCUGUAACAGGUUUUAACUAUAAAAAGCUUAAAUAAAAAUAAGAAAUGAAGUGUUUCUGUA